UACGGAGGGUGCAAGCGUUGUCCGGAAUCACUGGGCGUAAAGGGCGCGUAGGCGGCCUGGUAAGUAGGGGGUGAAAUCCUGCGGCUUAACCGCAGGGCUGCCUUCUAAACUGUCAGGCUUGAGCACGGUAGAGGCAGAUGGAAUUCCCGGUGUAGUGGUGGAAUGCGUAGAUAUCGGGAGGAACAUCAGUGGCGAAAGCGGCACCCUGGCAUUAGCCUGACGCUCAUGUGCGAAAGCGUGGGGAGCGAACGGG
rnacentral:rRNA from 1 species